AGAAGCUCUCACUUGAUCCAGACAGUGACAUAGCUACAACUACUCUCCGAGUAUGAUCACCCACAUGCUCUCGCAGUAUGAAGAAACUGAAAUACCCACAUGAGCCAGACCCUGUUCUUUCAUCCAUUGCUUUGAUAACCCACUUAUCUGAUGAUGAAUGAGAAAAAUGUGUCCUAGUGUCUGUAAUAAACUUUCCAGAUUUCAUCAACUCUUCAUUGAUGGAACUUAAAGAGAUCAAUACAGGCCAAAAAUGACCAUGACCAUCUAGUCCACCAAGAAACCCCCCAGAAUUUCCGGUCCAUGUUGUUUGUAGAUAUACUGCAGAAGAUCUCUGAUGUGAAUGAAAUUUAGUUUUGUAAGAGUGGAGCAUGGAGUACAUCCUUUGGAAAUCUCAAAGGAAGCUAACAAUACUCCUCCUUAUCUGGCUCAGGACCUUCUCCAGAGAAGAUGAAAAUGAAAAAGAUAGAAUUAACAGUUCUGACAAGGAAUAGAACACUGAAACAUAAUCUCCAGUAGGUUCCCCCAUUUUGGGAGAUGUGCUGCAUUACCUAGCAAAAAAUCCAUUAAGCUAUUACUAACAUCAUGUUUAGAAUAGAAGUGGACAUAGGAAUUAGGCAGCAAUGGAGUUGUGCACUGGCUAAAGUCGCUAAACCAUCCUCUACAAGUCAUGUUCAUCUAUGGUUGAUUUCUACCACCCUUCCAUAUGUGAGACUGGAAUUCACAGUUACCCUUUCACAGUGUUAAACAUAAUAUGUAUUAUCUUCCUACGCCAUUAAGUAUAUACCUCAAGUCAUCGCUAAUUAUCCUCAUCCCUCAUGGCCAACUCGGCAUACAUAUGGCUAUUUCAGUUGAAAGUCUUUUACGUUUUUUGUACUCUAAUGCAUGUUCAAAUUUGUAAAUUAAAUAUUAAUUGAUGACAGAUAUGUGUUUUGAUAUUUUAAACAUAGGCAAUCAAAGAUUACAAAACUCACUGAGUGAUAGACAAGGUAUUAUCAACAUGACCAAUAUGAUAACAUUAUAUGCAAAUUAUAGUUGAUAAUCAAUAUCAUGAUAUAAUACAAGUAAAGCUAAUGUCAUAAUAUCUUAUACAUUAUGAUAUAAUUAAUAUGACUAUCUUCAUUCAAAUCAUGUAAAUAUCACAAUAGCAAUCA